rnacentral:rRNA from 1 species
CCUUUUCGUUUGCUCGAGUCGACUGCGAGGGAUCCAAGGAUCGGCGGCGGCCGGGUGGCGGCGAUGACGGCCAGGAGGCGGCGCCGCGCGAGUUGGCCCGCUUCGGAGACGACGGGGCGGCGGCCAUGUCCUCGGGUCGUCGCGAAGGGAGGCAGCUCGUCGGCGAGAGUGUGCGUCGCGGAGGGAGGGACCCCGUCGGCGAGGGCGGAUCGUUGCGGCGGCUGGCUUCGAUGCGGCCUCUGGUCAGGAAUCCGUCAACCUUGUCCCGUGGUUGUAACAGUUAACCUCUCCGAACCUCGACGAAGCCGUAGGAGUCCUCUCGUUUGUUCUUCUAUGACUAUGUGUAUAGCCGUGUAAAAUCGAGUCCUCUCGUUCGUUCUUCCAAGGGUCUUCGAGCGACCUUGACGACGGUACAGAAGCUUCCCGUUCUUCUUCUUCGGCAGCCGUAGGGGCGUCGGCAGUGGAGCAUGUGGAGGGAGAGCGCGGGCACUUCCGUGGCCCCCGACGUAGGACCUGGAGAGCAGGUGGCGACGUCGCCGCCGCCGUGCCAUGGGCCGCGAGCAUGGGGCGCCUCCGCGCCCAACAAAGCGGCCGUGGCAGAGGCUACACCAGAGGUCCCCGCCCUCGGCGUCACCGCUCCCCUCCGAGACCGAACGGCUCGGGCGGUACCGGUCGUGGCCCGAUGCCGGACCCACGGAGCAGAAACACAGUGAGUAAAGAAGUUCAUCAUUGUCAAAUCUACCGAAGGGUGAACUAUCAAAUAAACUCCUCACGUUGUCUAAAAAACUAGAACUACACCCGUUACUAGAGUAGAGAUUACUUCGACCCCACUUGAAACACUGACGAUGUCAAAAGGGAAGUGCACUCCAAGUUUUCUUACUGUAGUUCGAGAGAACCCUAGAACGGACGUGUGACCCUAUGGGACAUCAUCCAGCAAGAAACGAUUAAUCGGGGCAUAUAUGUAGCGUUCGGGGUUUCGCUCGACUAAGACCGCUCAAUAACGCACACUAUUUUACGUCGCUAGAAAUAGAGCCAGAUCAAGGUUGCUUUCAACAUGGCAGGUCAGUAUUAUUCAGCCUUAGACUAACGGUAGGACAUUCUUUACACUACCAAUACCUCAGUGGAUUUUCCUAAGGAAGUUGAGGAGGUACGUCUUUACUUAGGGUACUACCACGUAGAUUGUCACCGAAAAGUAACACGAACCUAGUUCGGUGACGUUUUAGUCGUAAUCGUCUACUAUUUUAUUUACUGGACGACGUCUGAAGACGUAGUGCCACCGAACUACCAUCCGUGAAUGACUUUCCUUUGAUACAGGGAGAGAGUUACACGCCCUUUGAUAGAUAUAAGCAUCAAAACGCUCGUCUUUGUCUACCAAGACGGGACCUACAUCACGUACUCUUUUCUUUAAGUUACAGAUUACGUCUACAGAGACCAUUUAACCAACUUUGGGGACGAAACAUGGAACAGCUGUCUUGGUGUUUUCACGUGGAAAGACUAAACAGUAGAAGUUUCCUCAAACCCAGUCUAUUCGAUCCCAAGGGUGGUCUUAUAAGGUAGACACGACUAUGUCCUUCACUUCUACGGUUAGUACUAGUUUCCGAACCACCCAAUAGACUUCACAGUCGUUUUCAUUUUCUUUACUAAAGCAAAAGCGACCGUCUAGUUUAACCAGACGGUUCCUUACCGGACGUACUAAAUGGUUCCAUAUUUCCAGAAGAAGAAAUACCAGGUGGACCUUGUCCCUUUUGGAGAGAACGAAGAAGUACACGGAUACUAGACCCUCGGUUAGAAAAAUGUUAGUUACCUGGUCUCUAGUAACCAGUCAUAGUGCCACUUUCACUUGUCUGUAACAUACUACAAAAGUGAAGUCGAUUCGUUCGACGUGGACGACACUAUAAAUAACUACUUAACCUACGCUAACGAGGUCGGUCCUUCCUACCUCCGCUCCUCAACAGAGAAUCUUACCACCGGUGAGACAAUUUUGAUUACCUACUCUAACCGGCAUUACUAGCACAAUAGAAUUAACGACGAUGUUUAGCAGAACUUUCAUAACUAGCACGUAAUGAUGCUGGUCCUUCUAAGCUAGUUCUUUAACUUUAUCCUCAUGGUAGAGGUCCUGUCUCCGACCUGUAUGAAGUGGUGGAAGAUUCACCUCAAGUGGUGAGAGAGUGAUCACUCCUUCAACUCAGGGAACGAAAACGGUGAGUACCUAAGCACCCACGACUAGAUCGACGUGAUACGUUACUCCGACGUAACUCACGAGAAGCGGCAAUAUAGUCACAUUUUCUUUCAAGUUGGGUUGAUGAACCACUAGUACUGUGUUUACGUCUUUUCUGAUUAUAAGUUCUUUAACUACCAGAAACCCCAAUACUUCAUUCGAGUAAUAGUAGUAGAGAGAGUUUCAAUUGGUACAGUUACCUCCUAGUAACGACCUGGUUAUCUCCACUAUAGUAUCUUUCAUCGCUCGGCCUACUAUUCUUUCUACUCAACGAUAACAACCACUGGUUUCUACUGAAACUUGUUCGAUUUUACUUUCAAUCUGGUUCACGUUACGCACUCCAUUACGAUCUCGAAGGCUACCAUGCUACCCUUCUACAACCACCAGUUCGGUCCUAGUUCUUCGUUAAUUAACUUCGGUAGGUCAACGGUGUCUUUACGGGUCUACGCAAACUUGCGAAUCCCUAGGCGGGAGGAUCUCCUAACGAUUACUAACCUGGUGGUCCAACGUCAUUCUGUAACUACCGAGCACGACAUCGAAGACUUCGUUUUUACUUAAAGGAACGUCAAUUCCCAGGACUCGAAAAGUCGUUUACCCAACCACUGAGACUUUUCCGUCACUCUAGUAAUAAACGCUUCCGCUUCCUAUUACGCGGACGUUAUAAUAAAAAACUACUUUAUCUACCCGAACGUCAUUGAGCACCGGUACCUUCAUUACCGUAUAGACAACGACUAUCCCAUGAGUCAGUCAACGAUGUCCUUUACCUACCAAACCUGGUCUUCUAACCACAGUGACAAUAACGUCGAUGCUUAGCAGGACUGUUUUAGCUAUAACGUGAAGACUCUGGUCCAGCAAAGCUGUCUGACGAACUACAAGUUGGUGGUCUACUUCGACUGGCACUCCUAUAAAAGGCCUAAGUAUGUGCGUUUUAAGGAACGUCAGUGCUGCAGUUAGAUUUGCUUGAACGAUCUGAGUGUCUUCCGAUGUGGCCACGGCUGUAUUUCGAGCAGACGUCCCUUCGGCGGCAUCGACGAGAACUACUCUUGAAACUGUAGGGUCUUCAUCGUUAACAUGUGAAGUUCAGCCGUUAGCUGGCUCAUUCAGGUAGUCUAUACGUCAAAAUGGUUCUUGAACGCCGCGCUAAGGCGGCUGAGCAACUACUGUGUCUAUUUCGUUGUUGCUACCCUUAUGUAUGGCUUUGACGGUAAAUCAUAGGGAUAUAGACAUCUAUCUCCUCUCGUCAAGUGAGAUUAUGGUCUUUGCUUUCCUUUUACCUUAAAUACAACUGUCAACGUCAUAAUACUAGGAGAGGUCGUAAAGGGCGUAGACCUUAAGAAAAAACAAGACCAUCUCCGAUCAUCACGUUCAGUUCUCAACGUAGAAAAAGGAACCUACAGGUUACCAAGGUAGAUCAUGAUAAAAACAUCACCACCGAGAACUUUCUCUCUCCUAUGACUAAUGACCUGUGUUAGCGGACACGUUAAAAAACGAUCAGUACAUGGGCACCUCAGAUCUUAAAAACAACAUCUCUAACGGUUUACGACCAGCAGUGAGGACAAGUUUAAACACGUGUAGAACUGACGGUCAUUACCGUAGCUCCUUAGUAUACGUGCGCCACGCCUCUCAAA